rnacentral:rRNA from 1 species
ACGCUCGACACCUACGGGAGCAGCAGUGGGGAAUAUUGCACAAUGGGGGAAACCCUGAUGCAGCGACGCCGCGUGAGCGAAGAAGUAUUUCGGUAUGUAAAGCUCUAUCAGCAGGGAAGAAAAUGACGGUACCUGACUAAGAAGCCCCGGCUAACUACGUGCCAGCAGCCGCGGUAAUCUGAGCGGGCUGGCAAGGC